UGAGCAAUCUGCCCUUCUCUUCGGAAUAAGCGUUGGAAACGACGUCUAAUGCCGAAUACGACCUCCUUUCGCAUGAUCGGAGGUGGAAAGCUCCGGCGGAGAAGGAUGAGCUCGCGGCCUAUCAGCUAGUUGGUGUGGGUAAUGGCCCACAAGGCGACGACGGGUAGCCGGCCUGAGAGGGUGACCGGCCACACUGGGACUGAGACCACGGCCCAGACCUCCGUACGGGAGGNAGCG
rnacentral:rRNA from 1 species